AGUGGCGGACGGGUGAGUAACGCGUGGGUAACCUGCCUUAUACAGGGGGAUAACAACCAGAAAUGGUUGCUAAUACCGCAUAAGCGCACAGCAUUGCAUGAUGCAGUGUGAAAAACUCCGGUGGUAUAAGAUGGACCCGCGUUGGAUUAGCUAGUUGGUGAGGUAACGGCCCACCAAGGCGACGAUCCAUAGCCGACCUGAGAGGGUGACCGGCCACAUUGGGACUGAGACACGGCCCAAACUCCUACGGGAGGCAGCAGUGGGGAAUAUUGCACAAUGGGCGAAAGCCUGAUGCAGCGACGCCGCGUGAGCGAAGAAGUAUUUCGGUAUGUAAAGCUCUAUCAGCAGGGAAGAUAAUGACGGUACCUGACUAAGAAGCACCGGCUAAAUACGUGCCAGCAGCCGCGGUAAUACGUAUGGUGCAAGCGUUAUCCGGAUUUACUGGGUGUAAAGGGAGCGCAGGCGGUGCGGCAAGUCUGAUGUGAAAGCCCGGGGCUCAACCCCGGUACUGCAUUGGAAACUGUCGUACUAGAGUGUCGGAGGGGUAAGCGGAAUUCCUAGUGUAGCGGUGAAAUGCGUAGAUAUUAGGAGGAACACCAGUGGCGAA
rnacentral:rRNA from 1 species